GCACCGGCUAACUACGUGCCAGCAGCCGCGGUAAUACGUAGGGUGCGAGCGUUGUCCGGAAUUACUGGGCGUAAAGAGCUCGUAGGCGGUUUGUCACGUCGUCUGUGAAAUCCUAGGGCUUAACCCUGGACGUGCAGGCGAUACGGGCUGACUUGAGUACUACAGGGGAGACUGGAAUUUCUGGUGUAGCGGUGGAAUGCACAGAUAUCAGGAAGAACACCGAUGGCGAAGGCAGGUCUCUGGGUAGUAACUGACGCUGAGGAGCGAAAGCAUGGGUAGCGAACAGGAUUAGAUACCCUGGUAGUCCAUGCCGUAAACGGUGGGCGCUAGGUGUGGGGUUCCUUCCACGGGCUCCGUGCCGUAGCUAACGCAUUAAGCGCCCCGCCUGGGGAGUACGGCCGCA
rnacentral:rRNA from 1 species